AGUAAUAUGGCUGAGAUAUAAGCGAUAGAUUGUAAAUUUAUUAACGAGCUUUAGGCUCUGUUACUA
rnacentral:tRNA from 1 species